rnacentral:tRNA from 1 species
GGGUUGGGGCUCGGUGGUAGAGCACUCACCCAGCAAGUGCGAGGCCCUGGGUUCAAUCCUCAGCAUCACA